AUUGAACGCUGGCGGCAGGCCUAACACAUGCCAGUCGAGCGGAUGAAGGGAGCUUGCUCCUGGAUUCAGCGGCGGACGGGUGAGUAAUGCCUAGGAAUCUGCCUGGUAGUGGGGGAUAACGUCCGGAAACGGGCGCUAAUACCGCAUACGUCCUGAGGGAGAAAGUGGGGGAUCUUCGGACCUCACGCUAUCAGAUGAGCCUAGGUCGGAUUAGCUAGUUGGUGGGGUAAAGGCCUACCAAGGCGACGAUCCGUAACUGGUCUGAGAGGAUGAUCAGUCACACCUGAACCUAGGCACCGUCCACACUCCCAACGGAAGGCGCAGGUGGGAAUUUUGGGCCAUGGGGGAAAAGCUGAUCCAGCCAUGCCGCGUGUGUGAAGAAGGUCUUCGGAUUGUAAAGCACUUUAAGUUGGGAGGAAGGGCAGUAAGUUAAUACCUUGCUGUUUUGACGUUACCAACAGAAUAAGCACCGGCUAACUUCGUG
rnacentral:rRNA from 1 species